GCCGCAUGUCCCGGUAAUGUAGCAGAUCUGGGAAGAUAGCCUGGAUGGAUGAGGGCAGUAGCCCACGAUCCGUACAAGUGUGUGGUGUUGCAGUGGAGGAUCGUGUAAAUUUCCUUAAAGAUGGGGGAGACCUUUGAAGGGAAAAGCUUCAGUAUGCAAGACGCGGAGUCGAUUACGAAACCUAAGAAGUGGAUCAUCCACUAUGAAAAAC